rnacentral:lncRNA from 1 species
CCUUCUUUUGUGUGCAUCUUUGGUAAUAGUCUUUUCUGUAUCUCUAGAAAAUAUAUGUCAUAAAGAAACUGGAAAUUCUCCCCAUUUGGCUUGGCUCAUCCCAGCAUCCUUUUUGGAAAACAAAUGGCACUGUGUAAGUAAAACAAAAAUAAAAACUAAAGAUUAUGAGCUCCAUGAGGGCAGGGAUCACCUCUUCAUUUUCUCUGCAUUCUUCCCGGCACCUAAUUCAAGACCCCUUAACAAAUAG